GAGAGGAUGAUCAGCCAGACUGGAACUGAGGCACGGUCCAGACUCCUACGGGAGGCAGCAGUGAGGAAUCUUCCACAAUGGGCGAAAGCCUGAUGGAGCAACGCCGCGUGCAGGAUGAAGGCCCUCGGGUCGUAAACUGCUUUUAUGAGUGAAGAAUAUGACGGUAACUCAUGAAUAAGGAUCGGCUAACUCCGUGCCAGCAGCCGCAGUCAUACGGAGGAUCCAAGCGUUAUCCGGAAUUACUGGGCGUAAAGAGUUGCGUAGGUGGCAUAGUAAGUCUGUAGUGAAAGCGUGGGGCUCAACCCCAUACACAUUAUGGAAACUGCUAAGCUAGAGGAUGAGAGAGGUUAUUGGAAUUCCCAGUGUAGGAGUGAAAUCCGUAGAUAUUGGGAGGAACACCGAUGGCGUAGGCAGAUAACUGGCUCAUUCCUGACACUAAGGCACGAAAGCGUGGGGAGCAAACGGGAUUAGAUACCCCGGUAGUCCACGCCGUAAACUAUGGAUGCUAGCUGUUAGAGGUAUCGACCCCUCUAGUAGCGAAGCUAACGCGUUAAGCAUCCCGCCUGUGGAGUACGGUCGCAAGACUAAAACAUAAAGGAAUUGACGGGGACCCGCACAAGCGGUGGAGCGUGUUGUUUAAUUCGAUGGUAAGCGAAGAACCUUACCCAGGCUUGACAUCCUUGGAAUUUCUCCGAAAGGAGAGAGUGCCUUUGGAACAGGUGUUGCAUGGCCGUCGUCAGCUCGUGUCGUGAGAUGUUUGGUU
rnacentral:rRNA from 1 species